UUUUUUAGCACGCAGUCAACUGCCAGAAGUGACUCAACCACAGGCCACCAGAGGUACUCAGCUGUACCACUGCACUGCUUCUAAAAUUUCCAGCACCAGCGGCUUUGUAACAGCUGUUUCACAGCAUCUCGGAAUCAAUGCCUACGAAAUUAUUGGCCCUGAUGACGAGAGCCCUCAAGGGGGCAAACGACAUCUCUGUUGCAGAAGCGAGCCCGAUACCACCUGAAGAUACCAUGACAGAUGACACGGCUGCAAUAGAUACAGAGACUGCCGUGUCUAAUGCAGCUGCAACGCUGUACGAGGCAAGCAGCAGCACAUCAGCAUCAGCAGUAGUGUCAGC